UGCAGUCGGACGACAGGCGAGGAAUCCGCAAGGAGGAAUCGUGCUGAGUGGCGAACGGGUGAGUAAGACAUGGGGACGUACCCUCAAGAGGGGGAUAGCAUUCCGAAAGGGAUGGUAAUACCCCGUAAGCUCGAGAGAGGGAAGGUGCAACAGCACCGCUUGAGGAGCGACUCAUGGCCCAUCAGUUAGUUGGUGAGGUAAAGGCCCACCAAGGCUAUGACGGGUAGCUGGUCUGAGAGGAUGGUCAGCCACACUGGGACUGAGACACGGCCCAGACUCCUACGGGAGGCAGCAGUGGGGAAUUUUUCCCAAUGGGCGAAAGCCUGAGGGAGCGACGCCGCGUGGAGGAAGGAGUCUUUCGAGAUGUAAACUCCUGUUGUAAGGGAGCAAGGGUAUAUGUAGUGGAAAGGCAUAUACUCGGAUAGUACCUUACGAGGAAGCCCCGGCUAACUACGUGCCAGCAGCCGCGGUAAUACGUAGGGGGCGAGCGUUGUCCGGAGUUACUGGGCGUAAAGGGUGCGUAGGUGGCCGAUAAAGUCAAUUGUGAAAUUCCACGGCUCAACUGUGGGAGUGCGGUUGAAACUAAUCGGCUUGAGGUCAGGUCAGGAAGAUGGAAUUGUCAGUGUAGGGGUGAAAUCCGUAGAUAUUGGCAAGAACGCCGGUGGUGAAGACGGUCUUCUGGGCUGAUACUGACACUGAGGCACGAAAGCUAGGGGAGCGAACGGGAUUAGAUACCCCGGUAGUCCUAGCCGUAAACGAUGUUCACUGAGUAUGGGAGGCGUUAGCCAUCCGUGCUGAAGCAAACGCGUUAAGUGAACCGCCUGGGGAGUACGGCCGCAAGGUUGAAACUCAAAGGAA
rnacentral:rRNA from 1 species